rnacentral:lncRNA from 10 species
CAUGUGAAGUGGAAACACAGAGGCGGAGUCAACAAGGAGUUUCCCUACGAGUUAACUCCUGCCAGCUUUGGGGAGGUGAGGCAGAGCCUGCAGCUGUGGGCAUUUCGGCUUCUCCCCGUCUCUGUCCUUAGGUCUCCCUUCCAUGUUUUCCAAGACUGGAAAUGGCCCCCUGAUGUCCAGAAGUAGAAGCGCUUUAUGGAGGUGGAACAGGAGCGGGAGGCAACGGGCUCUUGAGGGAUCAGUCUGGAAUGCCCCUGCUGCUGGCCAGGGGACCGUGAGGCCCCAGCAGUGCCCUUCACUGCGGGCCGCUAGUUCUGCUCUCUAUCUGCUGAGGCAAAGAAUGCUGAUGUGUGAGCAAGGUCCAAAGAGAGCGUUCAACUAAAAUUAAUAAAAGUAAUAAACAGAAGCACUGCUCCAAUGAGGAUGAGCGCUGUGACCUUGCAAUCUGCAAUCAGCUUCACAAACCAGAGAGGAAGGUGAAUCCGACGAGGACCAGGCUGGAGAUGAACACCAAGGAACGUGGAUGCUUCAAGGACGGUGUUGCAGUUUAAUAAUUCAAGGAAGUAUGCUUUAAAAGAAAUGAAAUCUAUUAAAAGUUGUAUUAUCAUUUGACUAAUAAAUGCUAUAUAGGCACAACAAAUAACCAAAUAAUUAAAGCAAAUCCAAUCUCUGAAUGCAAACAUCCUUUCAACAGUCCUUAAUCGCUUUUUUUUUUCUGCUGCUCAGGCUGGAGUACAGGGGCAUGAACUUGGCUCAGUGCAACCUCCUGCCUCCUGAGUUCAAGAGAUUCUCAUGCCUCAGCUUCCCAAGUAGCUGGGAUUACAGGCCCACACCACAACGCCCAGUUAAUUUUUGUAUUUUUAGUAAAGACAGGGUUUCACCAUGUUGGCCAGGCUGGUCUCGCACUCCUGACCUCAGGUGAUUGCCCGCUUCUGCCUCCAAAAGUGCUGGGAUUAUAGGUGUGAGCCACUGUGACUGGCCCUUAAUUUGCUUUUAAAUAUAAAUAUUAAAUAAUAUCUAAGGCUGGGCGCGGUGGCUCACGCCUGUAAUCCCAGCAC